CAUGUUUGUUGUAAACCAAAGGCCCAGAAGAAAUAAGUGUUAACCUGUACCUAGGUGUAGGUUGUAUAUGGGUGAUGAAAAUCAUAAAUGAUUUAUCUGUAUGGAGUCUAAUGAAGCAGGUGUUGUGUAAUUAGUAGAAGUGAUUCUAGUAAAGUGACACUAAGAGCCAGUGGUUGUGUGAUAAUCAGUUAAUAUAAUAAUGACUUUCUAAACAUUUUGUACACAUACAUUUUUCUUCUACACUGUAACAAAUUUCUGUAGUUUUCACAGCAUUAUUACUGUAAAAUGGGCAAAUGCUUACUGUAAAACCUGUAUACAGCAUGUUACUGUAGAUCUGCAAAGCAUCACGGUAAAUUUUCAAGGGCGGGAAAAUUCUACAGUAAAAAUAUUUUUUUCUGUGAAUCACAAUACAGCAAUUUCUAGAGGAUUUUUUUUUUCUAGCCAUGGAAAGCUGAAAAUCUAGAUUGCACACUUUCAUUGGAAUUCUAACUUCAGAAAGGCAACUUUGCUGAUUUAUUAUCACAGUUUACUGUAGUCAAGUUACCUAUUUGUUCAACUAAUUCAUUAUUUAUUAUUAUUUGUUCAAGAGUGCACUGAGAGAGAGAGAGGCAAAAGAGCGGGACACUUCCUAGUAAACUCGUGUCUUGUGUGCAUUUUAUAACCAAAAAAAAAAAAAAGAAUUGUGCAUAAUUUUGAUCGAUUUUCUAAUCUGGCAACAUUCGAUAACGUCAUCAGUUUAGAGAAGGAUAGCAUUGUUGAAUAAACAUUUAAUUGGAAUUGUGUAUGUGAUGUGUCUGUUGGUGCACUAGCUGGAGUUUUCUCUAGCCAGCUAACGUCAACUGUCUGUCACCGCCGACACCGCGUGCGUGCGCGUGAAGCAGUGAAGUCCAGACUCGACAGAAAACGCAGUUAGAGCAGACGUUGAGGCCCAGAUUUCUCUGCCAAGCACUCUAAGACUCAUCAUGCUCGGAGAGUCCAUUCUGGGGGCAAAUAGGUGGAUGCUUUCCAUCGAGGGCAGAGUUCUCCAACCAAGUGACCGUUCCAAAUUCACUUCUGCUCUGGCUGUGCUUUUUGCAUCAUACUAUAUAUUUAACAUGGAAUAUCCUGCGGAGGCAGCCACCACAUUAGAAUUUAUCCAGAGGGUAGAAGACUCCAGCCCAGGAAAUUGACUAAUUCAGGCCCGUUUCUGAAGAAAAAUACAGUUCUGGGAGAAAAACAACAUUCAGGGACCAAAUUCUACUGUUUGAAAUCCUGCUGUUUCUAAAUUAUUUAAUUUGCCUUUUAUACAUUCUAAUUGUAACCGAACAUAUUAAUGCAUUUGAACAGGAUUGAUUUGUAUGUUCAGAAAAGUGUUGUUGAAUACAAAACGAAAUGAAAUGUUAACAGAAAAAUGUUGACCUAUUGAAGAUUUUUUUUUUGCUAUGCUAUUUUUAUUUUAUGAAUUUAGAAAUUAAAAGCGUGAAAAGUUAUCAAUAAAUGGAAUUUUUUGUGGCAAAAACAGUGUCUUCAUUUUACAGUACACAAAAUUAAUGCUGUAAUCCUUAUUACAGUAGUAAAAUAUAUGAGUUGAUGAAACAGUACUGUGAUUAUUACUGUAAAAAAUUUACAGUAUUUUUAGUUACUGCAGUUAAGUUUACAGUAAGCAUACUGUGAAAUGAACUAUGGCAACUUACUAGCUAAUUGCUGCCAGCAAGUUACUGUAAGUUUCACAGUAUUCUUCUUACAGUGUAUGCCAGUAGUUGGUCACACACAGACAUUAAUAAUCAGAAUAUGAACCUCUACAAUGGUGACAAAAAAACAUGCUGCAAUGCAUGCUGGGUACUAUUCAU